UGAUAACCUAAAAUCCCACUUGUAAACACAUGAAACUUUAUCCAGCAUUUCUGCUCUAGCUGCUGAUACUGGCAGCUAAUGGCUUUCAAAUGAUACUGAAGGUGUAUUUCCAAGCUUUGUUUACGUGAGAAGGAGGCUAUGUUAGGCAGCUUGCUAGCAAAGGGGACUAAUUCACUGCUGUGCUCUUUUCACAGCACUCUAUCAAUACUGCAAUAGCUGUAGCUUAAUAGCAGAGCAAAGGAAAUCUAUUCUGCUUUUAAUUUGUAACAGGUUUUCAAAGGGGAAUCAUUAUCCUGAUUAUGAUUCAAUAAACAGAAACCUGAACCCAGGCCAGGUCCCUUCAUGGCUGCCAGAAAGAACAGCAGGGGAAGGCAAAAGAACCACCAUGUUUCAGGCUUAAGCAGAGCUUAAUGCAGCAAGACAUUCAAACAAGUGCUGCUCACCUUGAGCUUUAUCUGGCUGCCGGGAAACACAAAGAAGGACAGCAAUUCCCUGAGGUCUCAGCCAAUGCCAACUCUGAUACAGUUGGUUACGCUUUGUGUCUCAAGUCAAGGGCAG
rnacentral:lncRNA from 1 species